GGAAUCUUGGUCAAUGGGCGAGAGCCCGAACCAGCGACGCCGCGUGGGCGAAGAAGGCCUUCGGGUCGUAAAGCCCUUUUCUGCGUGACGAGGAAGGACGGUAGCGCAGGAAGAAGCGUCGGCUAACUACGUGCCAGCAGCCGCGGUAAAACGUAGGACGCAAGCGUUAUCCGGAGUGACUGGGCGUAAAGGGCGUGUAGGCGGCUCCUCAAGUUCGUCGUGAAAUUCUCCGGCUCAACCGGGGGAGGACGAGGGAGACUGAGAGGCUGGAGGACGGUAGAGGGACAGGGAAUUCCGGGUGUAGUGGUGAAAUGCGUAGAGAUCCGGAGGAACACCAGUGGCGAAGGCGCUGUCCUGGGCCGUUACUGACGCUGAGACGCGACAGCAUGGGGAGCGAA
rnacentral:rRNA from 1 species